UUAAAUUGAAGAGUUUGAUCAUGGCUCAGAUUGAACGCUGGCGGCAGGCCUAACACAUGCAAGUCGAACGGUAACAGGAAGCAGCUUGCUGCUUCGCUGACGAGUGGCGGACGGGUGAGUAAUGUCUGGGAAACUGCCUGAUGGAGGGGGAUAACUACUGGAAACGGUGGCUAAUACCGCAUAACGUCGCAAGACCAAAGAGGGGGACCUUCGGGCCUCUUGCCAUCAGAUGUGCCCAGAUGGGAUUAGCUUGUUGGUGAGGUAACGGCUCACCAAGGCGACGAUCCCUAGCUGGUCUGAGAGGAUGACCAGCCACACUGGAACUGAGACACGGUCCAGACUCCUACGGGAGGCAGCAGUGGGGAAUAUUGCACAAUGGGCGCAAGCCUGAUGCAGCCAUGCCGCGUGUAUGAAGAAGGCCUUCGGGUUGUAAAGUACUUUCAGCGGGGAGGAAGGUGUUGUGGUUAAUAACCGCAGCAAUUGACGUUACCCGCAGAAGAAGCACCGGCUAACUCCGUGCCAGCAGCCGCGGUAAUACGGAGGGUGCAAGCGUUAAUCGGAAUUACUGGGCGUAAAGCGCACGCAGGCGGUCUGUCAAGUCGGAUGUGAAAUCCCCGGGCUCAACCUGGGAACUGCAUUCGAAACUGGCAGGCUUGAGUCUUGUAGAGGGGGGUAGAAUUCCAGGUGUAGCGGUGAAAUGCGUAGAGAUCUGGAGGAAUACCGGUGGCGAAGGCGGCCCCCUGGACAAAGACUGACGCUCAGGUGCGAAAGCGUGGGGAGCAAACAGGAUUAGAUACCCUGGUAGUCCACGCCGUAAACGAUGUCUACUUGGAGGUUGUGCCCUUGAGGCGUGGCUUCCGGAGCUAACGCGUUAAGUAGACCGCCUGGGGAGUACGGCCGCAAGGUUAAAACUCAAAUGAAUUGACGGGGGCCCGCACAAGCGGUGGAGCAUGUGGUUUAAUUCGAUGCAACGCGAAGAACCUUACCUGGUCUUGACAUCCACAGAACUUUCCAGAGAUGGAUUGGUGCCUUCGGGAACUGUGAGACAGGUGCUGCAUGGCUGUCGUCAGCUCGUGUUGUGAAAUGUUGGGUUAAGUCCCGCAACGAGCGCAACCCUUAUCCUUUGUUGCCAGCGGUUAGGCCGGGAACUCAAAGGAGACUGCCAGUGAUAAACUGGAGGAAGGUGGGGAUGACGUCAAGUCAUCAUGGCCCUUACGACCAGGGCUACACACGUGCUACAAUGGCGCAUACAAAGAGAAGCGACCUCGCGAGAGCAAGCGGACCUCAUAAAGUGCGUCGUAGUCCGGAUUGGAGUCUGCAACUCGACUCCAUGAAGUCGGAAUCGCUAGUAAUCGUGGAUCAGAAUGCCACGGUGAAUACGUUCCCGGGCCUUGUACACACCGCCCGUCACACCAUGGGAGUGGGUUGCAAAAGAAGUAGGUAGCUUAACCUUCGGGAGGGCGCUUACCACUUUGUGAUUCAUGACUGGGGUGAAGUCGUAACAAGGUAACCGUAGGGGAACCUGCGGUUGGAUCACCUCCUUACCU
rnacentral:rRNA from 2 species